rnacentral:rRNA from 1 species
GACAGAGGGUGCAAACGUUGUUCGGAAUUACUGGGCGUAAAGCGCGUGUAGGCGGCCAUCUAAGUCGGGCGUGAAAUCCCACGGCUCAACCGAGAAACGUCGGCCGAUACUGCCGUUCUUGAGGGAUGCAGAGGAGACUGGAAUUCCCGGUGUAGCGGUGAAAUGUGUAGAGAUCGGGAGGAACACCGGUGGCGAAGGCGGGUCUCUGGGCAUUUCCUGACGCUGAGGCGCGAAAGCGUGGGGAGCAAACGGG